GAAAGCAUGUUUGAAGGAACUGGGAAUGUCGCAAAGUGGUGACAAGGGCACUCUCGAAUAUCGUCUGGAGAGAGGGACACAAAGUGCGACACUUGAUCUUCAAACCCCCGAUGGUCUUCCCGUGCAUCAAUUGAAAUUAGCG
rnacentral:ribozyme from 1 species